rnacentral:rRNA from 1 species
GAUGAACGCUGGCGGCGUGCUUAACACAUGCAAGUCGAACGAGAAAUGGAGACGGAACCCUUCGGGCGGAAGGCUUCAUUUCGAGUGGCGGACGGGUGAGUAACGCGUGGGUAACCUGCCUCAUACAGGGGGAUAACAGUUGGAAACGACUGUUAAUACCGCAUAAGACCACAGCACCGCAUGGUGCGGGGGUAAAAACUCCGGUGGUAUGAGAUGGACCCGCGUUCGAUUAGCCAGUUGGCGGGGUAACGGCCCACCAAAGCGACGAUCGAUAGCCGAUCUGAGAGGAUGACCGGCCACAUUGGGACUGAGACACGGCCCAAACUCCUACGGGAGGCAGCAGUGGGGAAUACUGCACAAUGGGGGAAACCCUGAUGCAGCGACGCCGCGUGAGUGAAGAAGUACUUCGGUAUGUAAAGCUCUAUCAGCAGGGAAGAAAAUGACGGUACCUGAGGAAGAAGCCCCGGCUAACUACGUG